CCCCCGUUGAGAUUUCAUGGCCCGGUCGCGUGCGCGGCGCUGUGCCAGGGAUCCGUCGUUUCGACGGCGGCAAGUCGGGACUGUCGCAACCCCCCGUUGCCUUGCCCAGGUGUGUUAACUCGUCGCUCGGAGCGUUCUGUGUCUAGGAUGGGUGCACUCGCAUGAUUUGCGGGGCAGGGGCCCCAUCCGAUGACACGGCUCUCCCAUGCGUCGACUCCCACCUUUGCGAGGUGAUGGGGCGGGGACACACCACAGCGUUCCUCGUCGCACCCAUUGGGUGCUCGGGGUUCGGGAUGUGUCAACACCCAACACACGGGUGCAUCGCGCACCUUAGAAAUCCAAAGAAUGAAGCGCGAUCCAGCGCCUUGCGCGCUUGGGUCGCCGAAAUACAAAAACAUAACAAAAUCACGACUCUCGGCAACGGAUAUCUCGGCUCUCGCCACGAUGAAGAAUGUAGCGAAAUGCGAUACUUAGUGUGAAUUGCAGAAUCCCGUGAAUCAUCAAGUCUUUGAACGCAAGUUGCGCCCGAGGCCUCGGCCAAGGGCACGUCUGCUUGGGCGUCGCACUACAAAAUUGCCCUCCCCAGCGAGGAGCGGAGAUGGCCGUCCGUGUCCCCAAGUGGCGCGGUCGGCUGAAAUGAGCACGAGGUCCGUCGAUCCGUCGCGACGAGCGGUGGCUCCCAAAAGGCCGGCGUUGGUUUGCGCUGAUCGAACGAUUCCUCGCGAGGAACUUUAUUCUGGGUCCAGCGGCCCGCCGCAGUGCGGGCAUGCUGUAUCUCUACCGCGUCCCCAAGUCAGGC
rnacentral:rRNA from 1 species